rnacentral:antisense_RNA from 1 species
CACUGCCACUUUCACCAUCCCAUAUCCACACUUCGCAGAGACACCUGCAAAAACACUUCCAAUGCAAGACUCAGCCACAACUGAGCCUCAGAGUGUGACAUCUAGGGGACACGUUGACAACCACAGGAGAAACCAAAGAGAUCCAACAUUCUGCUGCUGCCAGGUGUUGAGGAAAUGCACACACCCUCAUGAGAGAGACAUAAACCGUCACAGAGCCUCAGAAGUGGAUGAAACUUCUUGGCCUGGAGGAUUAAAAAAAAAAAAGAAAGAAAGGAAAGCAUUGUGAGACUUUUGCCCCAUCACAGAUUGAAGGAAAAGGUGAAAAAAACAGAAUGUAGAAGUAAUAAAACUGCAGAGGCCUGUUAUCUAAACAUCUGACAUGACAUUACCCCAUCUUAUAAUUGAAAUUCUCAAGACUGAGUGACAAAAUCAAGAAAGAACAUGUGUUCUGAGAUAGCAUCAAUAGUAUGUUCUUUCUGUAAAUAAAGCACAUUAAUGUACUGAAUAAAAUAGAUUUCAAAAUUUGGUAA